GCAAGUCGAGCGGACGAGUGGAGCUUGCUUCUCUAUUGAGCGGCGGACGGGUGAGUAAUGCCUAGGUUUCUGCCUGGUAGUGGGGGAUAACGUUUCCAAACGAACGCUAAUACCGCAUACAUCCUACGGGAAAAAGUGGGGGAACUUCUGACCUGGCGCUAUCAGAUGAGCCUACGUCGGAUUACCUAGUUGGUGAGGUAAUGGCUCACCAAGGGGACCAUCCGUGACUGGACUGAGAGGAUGAUCAGUCACACUGUAACUGACACUCGGACCAGACUCCUACGGGAAGUACUACUGGGGGAAUUUUGGACAAUGGGUUAAAGCCUGAUCCAACCAUGCCCCGAGUGUCAACAAGGGCUUCAGAUUGGAAUCACUUUAAGUUGGGAUGAAGGGCAGGAACAUCAUACCUCGUUGUUUUGACGUUACCCCCUGAAUAAGCACCGGCUAACUUCCUGCCAUCACUCCCUGUCAUACGAAGGGUGCAUGCGUUAAUCGGAAUUACUGGGCGUAAAUCUUGCGUAUGAGGGUCUCUCAGGUGGAUGCUAAAGCCCCGUGCUCAACCUGGGAACUGCAUCCAAAACUGACUAUCUAGACUAUGGAACAUGAUGGUGGAAUUUCCUAUGGAAAUUCCACAUGCAUCGAUGUAAUAAGGAAAGACGUUGACGAACGCCACCGCCUAAGGUGACUCUGUGACUUGUGACUGACACUGAGGAGAGAAAACAUGAUGAGAUACCAUGAUUAGACACCCUGGUAACGCUCUCCACUAACCAU
rnacentral:rRNA from 1 species